AUAAUAAUUAGUCUUUUUAAUGAAGGCUGGAAUGAAUGAUUGGACGAGGUAAUUCUGUCUCAUUUAAAUUAAAAUUUAAAUUUAAUUUUUAAGUUAAAAAGCUUAAAUAUAAUUAAAGGACGAGAAGACCCUAUAGAGCUUUAUAAUUUUUAAUUAUUAAAUUUUAAUUUUUUUUUAUUAAUUUUAUAAUUAUUUUGUUGGGGUGACAGGAAAAUUUAAUUAACUUUUUUAAUUUUAUUACAUAUAUUUAUGAAUUUUUGAUCUUAAUUUUUAGAUUAUUAGAUUAAGUUACCUUAGGGAUAACAGCGUUAUUUUUUUUUAGAGUUCAUAUUAAUAAAAAAGAUUGC
rnacentral:rRNA from 1 species